UACGAAGGGGGCGAGCGUUGUUCGGAUUUACUGGGCGUAAAGGGCGCGUAGGCGGUUCUGUUUGUCAGGCGUGAAAGCCCUGGGCUCAACCUGGGAACUGCGCUUGGGACGGCGGGACUUGAGUUCGGGAGAGGAGAGUGGAAUUCCCAGUGUAGAGGUGAAAUUCGUAGAUAUUGGGAAGAACACCGGUGGCGAAGGCGGCUCUCUGGACCGAUACUGACGCUGAGGCGCGAAAGCGUGGGGAGCAAAC
rnacentral:rRNA from 1 species